rnacentral:rRNA from 1 species
CCUAGGGGGGGCUGCAGUGGGGAAUAUUGGACAAUGGGCGAAAGCCUGAUCCAGCCAUGCCGCGUGUGUGAAGAAGGCCUUCGGGUUGUAAAGCACUUUCAGUGGGGAAGAAAGCCUUGGGGCUAAUACCCUCGAGGAAGGACAUCACCCACAGAAGAAGCACCGGCUAACUCCGUGCCAGCAGCCGCGGUAAUACGGAGGGUGCGAGCGUUAAUCGGAAUUACUGGGCGUAAAGCGCGCGUAGGCGGUCUGAUAAGCCGGUUGUGAAAGCCCCGGGCUCAACCUGGGAACGGCAUCCGGAACUGUCAGGCUAGAGUGCAGGAGAGGAAGGUAGAAUUCCCGGUGUAGCGGUGAAAUGCGUAGAGAUCGGGAGGAAUACCAGUGGCGAAGGCGGCCUUCUGGACUGACACUGACGCUGAGGUGCGAAAGCGUGGGUAGCAAACAGGAUUAGAUACCCCUGUAGUC